rnacentral:tRNA from 1 species
AAUAAGAUGCCUGAAAUUCAAAAGGACUAUUUUGAUGUAAUAGAAUAUGUAAAAAAUUAAUUUACUCUUAUUA